rnacentral:rRNA from 1 species
CACGUAGUUAGCCGGAGCUUUCUUGCAGGGUACCGUCAUUUUCGUCCCCUGCGACAGAACUUUACAACCCGAAGGCCGUCUUCAUUCACGCGGCAUCGCUGCAUCAGGGUUUCCCCCAUUGUGCAAUAUCCCCCACUGCUGCCUCCCGUAGGAGUCUGGGCCGUGUCUCAGUCCCAAUGUGGCCGUUCAACCUCUCAGUCCGGCUACCGAUUGUCGGUUUGGUGGGCCGUUACCCCGCCAACUGCCUAAUCGGACGCGAGCCCAUCUUUCAGCGGAUUGCUCCUUUGAUAUCAGUGCCAUGCGACUCCGAUAUUUUAUGCGGUAUUAGCGUUCGUUUCCAAACGUUAUCCCCCUCUGAAAGGCAGGUUGCUCACGUGUUACUCACCCGUCCGCCACUAAGUUCAGAUGCGAGCAUCUUCACUCCGUUCGACUUGCAUGUGUUAGGCGUGCCGCCAGCGUUCGUCCUGAGCCAGGAUCAAACUCU